rnacentral:rRNA from 1 species
CUACGGGGGGCACCAGUGGGGGAUAUUGCACAAUGGGGGGAACCCUGAUGCAGCGACGCCGCGUGAGCGAAGAAGUGCUUCGGCAUGUAAAGCUCUAUCAGCAGGGAAGAAAAUGACGGUACCUGACUAAGAAGCCCCGGCUAACUACGUGCCAGCAGCCGCGGUAAUACGUAGGGGGCAAGCGUUAUCCGGAUUUACUGGGUGUAAAGGGAGCGUAGACGGCAUCGCAAGUCUGAUGUGAAAACCCGCGGCUCAACCACGGGAUUGCAUUGGAAACUGCGGAGCUUGAGUACUGGAGGGGCAGGCGGAAUCCCUGGUGUAGCGGUGGCAUGCGUAGAUAUCAGGAGGAACACCGGUGGCGAAGGCGGCCUGCUGGACAGUAACUGACGUUGAGGCUCGAAAGCGUGGGGAGCAAACAGGAUUAGAUACCCCCGUAGUC